rnacentral:snRNA from 1 species
CCCACUUCUUGGCCUUUUGGCUAAGAUCAAGUGUAGUAUCUGUUCUUAUCAGUCGGGAGGGAUACGGCUAAGAGAUGGCACUUGAUCCUCUGCCCAAAGGAUUUGCAUAUGAUUGAGCUCGAGCUUGUGCACUUUUA